AGUGAACGCUGGCGGUAGGCCUAACACAUGCAAGUCGAACGGCAGCACAGUAAGAGCUUGCUCUUACGGGUGGCGAGUGGCGGACGGGUGAGGAAUACAUCGGAAUCUACUUUUUCGUGGGGGAUAACGUAGGGAAACUUACGCUAAUACCGCAUACGACCUACGGGUGAAAGCAGGGGAUCUUCGGACCUUGCGCGAUUGAAUGAGCCGAUGUCGGAUUAGCUAGUUGGCGGGGUAACGGCCCACCAAGGCGACGAUCCGUAGCUGGUCUGAGAGGAUGAUCAGCCACACUGGAACUAAGACACGGACCAGACUCCUACGGGAGGCAGCAGUGGGGAAUAUUGGACAAUGGGCGCAAGCCUGAUCCAGCCAUACCGCGUGGGUGAAGAAGGCCGUCGGGUUGUAAAGCCCUUUUGUUGGGAAAGAAAAGCAGCAGGUUAAUACCCCGCUGUUCUGACGGUACCCAAAGAAUAAGCACCGGCUAACUUCGU
rnacentral:rRNA from 1 species